CUCUAAACAGAGGGGAGCUUAUGUAAUAGGCUGAGAAAGGAAUUUUAUUCCUGACCCUAUGAACCUGAUUUGGUUAAUUCCAGCGAAGGGACUUGUUUAUUUUAUUAUG
rfam:Sporanaerobacter acetigenes DSM 13106 genome assembly, contig: EJ96DRAFT_scaffold00006.6